rnacentral:lncRNA from 1 species
GCAAUUCUUCCAAGGUUAUGUAACAGUGUUCAAACAGUACAGUGGGAAUUGUACUACCUACUUCAGAGAGAGAAAUGUGAAAUACAGAGCUCAGUCACUGGUGACAGAAGAUGGAAAUACCUAAAAGACAGUGAGACAGUCCAGCGCUGGGACAUUGGAUUCACCAUGGCUGGGAUGAGGAGACGAGUUCUCACCAAGGUGCUAAAUUGCCUAGGCUGGUCUUGAACUUGCUAUCCUCCUGCUUCAGCCUCCCAGAGAAGUAGGAUUACAGAUUUUGGCACUGACAAUUUAUUGAACGAAGAACAAAGCACAUGCUUUUAAAAUCAAGCCUGGAAAUGAAGAUAACUUUUUGACAAUUGAACUUUAAAACUAUUUAGUACAAAAUUAAAGAGUAGGCUUUCUUCCUAAUGCCUCUGUGCUAGUUAGUGUUACCUCUCCUCAAAUAAUAUAUUCCCUGCACAAUGGGACGCUGUGUGUGUCUGUGUGUUGGAAUGAGGAGAGUAUGUGUUUGGAUACAGCUGGGAAAGGGAGACUUUCACUUUUGACAGGAAAGAAACAGCAACUACAUCUGCUAAGUUUCUGUUUCUAUAAAAAGAAUACCUGCUAGCCUGCUGACAUGAGGCAGACUCAACUGCAAUGUUGAAAGAUUAAGGCCAGCUGGUGUUUUUCCAGUUGAUUUGCAUUUCUGGAGCUCAAGGUGAUCCCCCUGUAUUUUUAACGGAUGUCUGUGACUCAAAAAGUUGGCAUGUUAAGAGGAUGCUGGUGCUACCUCUUCUAAAGACAUAAGAAAUCAAGUCUGAGAGAAACACAAAUAGAGAUGAUUAACAUCAAAGUGGUUAAUUUGCAAUAAUUGCUAUAUGCAUGUUUAUCAUGUUGAUUAAGUCUAUUUAUAAAGGGCCUAAGUAUAAUCUAUAUCCUGAAAUCGUGUGGGAAAGGUGCAGGAAUGCACAGAAAGAAAUUAUAUCCCUAUGUUGGAAAAAAAGGAACUGUUCAAUUAAAUGAAAGAGGAAUUGGCCAUAAAAAUUGGAUUGGGUUCAAGCAAAACAAGCUCUGUAAGCCUACUAGGCAAAAUAUCAUUGGUCAUAUCUUAUAUACAAAAUAAUUAUUGACCACUUAUCUUAUAUUUGUCUUCCCUUCUUCCCACUAUGCAUGCCCAAUACCACCACCAACAACUUAAG